GGCACGAUACGCCUGGUCCGCCACCCUCGCGGUGUGUGAGUACCGGUGCGCGUCUGCCAUCCUUCGCGGGUCGGCGCCUCCCCUUCAGUGGGCGUGGGUGUCGGGCCGCGAUCGUUUACUUUGAAAAAAUUAGAGUGUUUCAGGCAGGCGUUGUCGCCCUGUAUACAUUAGCAUGGAAUAAUAAGAUAGGACUUGGGCCCUAUUUUGUUGGUUUCUAGAGCCGAAGUA
rnacentral:rRNA from 1 species